AGGGGUAUAGCUCAGUGUUAGAACAUGUGCUUGGCAUGGACGAGGUCCUGGGUUUAAUCCCCAGUGCCUCCG
rnacentral:tRNA from 1 species